rfam:Gossypium hirsutum cultivar TM-1 chromosome 22, whole genome shotgun sequence
UGUUAAAAAUUUUAUCUAUUUUUUCAGUUAAAAACUAGUGUAGCUGAUAGAAUAACCAGAUAAUUACACAUAAUGUGUCAUGUGUACCUUAUGCUAACGUACAUAGAUCAAUUUUUAAUAGUAGAAAUAAAUAGAAUUUUUAAAA